rnacentral:rRNA from 1 species
CUUACCUGGUCUUGACAUCCACAGAACUUGCCAGAGAUGGCUUGGUGCCUUCGGGAACUGUGAGACAGGUGCUGCAUGGCUGUCGUCAGCUCGUGUUGUGAAAUGUUGGGUUAAGUCCCGCAACGAGCGCAACCCUUAUCCUUUGUUGCCAGCGGUCCGGCCGGGAACUCAAAGGAGACUGCCAGUGAUAAACUGGAGGAAGGUGGGGAUGACGUCAAGUCAUCAUGGCCCUUACGACCAGGGCUACACACGUGCUACAAUGGCGCAUACAAAGAGAAGCGACCUCGCGAGAGCAAGCGGACCUCAUAAAGUGCGUCGUAGUCCGGAUUGGAGUCUGCAACUCGACUCCAUGAAGUCGGAAUCGCUAG